GCUUAACUGCAUUUUUUCUUACACAUGUGUUUUUCUUUUUUUGAAAACUUUGCUUUGGUAGGCCUUCUAUAUGGGGCCUGCCAGAGAUUAAACUCAACCAAAUUUUAUUUAAUGUCAACCGAUUAUUUAAUAGUCAAAACUUUCAACAACGGAUCUCUUGGUUCUCGCAUCGAUGAAGAACGCAGCGAAAUGCGAUAAGUAAUAUGAAUUGCAGAUAUUCGUGAAUCAUCGAAUCUUUGAACGCACAUUGCGCCCUUUGGUAUUCCAAAGGGCAUGCCUGUUUGAGCGUCAUUUCUCCCUCAAACCCUCGGGUUUGGUGUUGAGCGAUACGCUGGGUUUGCUUGAAAGAAAGGCGGAGUAUAAACUAAUGGAUAGGUUUUUUCCACUCAUUGGUACAAACUCCAAAACUUCUUCCAAAUUCGACCUCAAAUCAGGUAGGACUACCCGCUGAACUUAAGCAUAUCAAUAAGCGGAGGAA
rnacentral:rRNA from 1 species